rnacentral:rRNA from 2 species
AUGAAACUUAAAUGAUUUCUUCGGAAUGAACUUAAGUGGAUUAGUGGCGGACGGGUGAGUAACGCGUGAGUAACCUGCCUUACACAAGGGGAUAGCCGUUGGAAACGACGAAUAAUACCCAAUGAAACUAUCACUUCGCAUGAAGCGAUAGUCGAAGUGUUAGCGGUGUAAGAUGGACUUGCGUCUGAUUAGCUAGUUGGUGAGAAAAAAGCCCACCAAGGCAACGAUCAGUAGCCGGCUUGAGAGAGUGUACGGCCACAUUGGGACUGAGACACGGCCCAGACUCCUACGGGAGGCAGCAGUGGGGAAUUUUGCACAAUGGGGGAAACCCUGAUGCAGCGACGCCGCGUGAUUUAGAAGGCCUUCGGGUUGUAAAAAUCUUUUGUAUAGGAAGAAAAUGACAGUACUAUACGAAUAAGGUCCGGCUAAUUACGUGCCAGCAGCCGCGGUAAUACGUAAGGACCGAGCGUUGUCCGGAAUCAUUGGGCGUAAAGGGUACGUAGGCGGGUCAUUAAGUUAGAAGUCAAAGGCUAUAGCUCAACUAUAGUAAGCUUCUAAAACUGGCGACCUUGAGUAAUGGAAGGGAAAGUGGAAUUCCUAGUGUAGCGGUGGAAUGCGCAGAUAUUAGGAGGAAUACCGGUGGCGAAGGCGACUUUCUGGCCAUUAACUGACGCUGAGGUACGAAAGCGUG